rnacentral:rRNA from 1 species
AAAGACGAACGAUGCCACUAGCGAUCCGCCGGUGGUAAUUACGCCCCGGCGGGGAGCUUCCCGGAAACGAAAGUUUUUCGGUUCCGGGGGAAGUAUGGUUGCAAAGCUGAAACUUAAAGAAAUUGACGGAAGGGCACCACCAGGAGUGGAGCCUGCGGCUUAAUUUGACUCAACACGGGAAAACUCACCUGGCCCGGACACCGUGAGGAUUGACAGAUUGAGAGCUCUUUCUUGAUUCGGUGGUUGGUGGUGCAUGGCCGUUCUUAGUUGGUGGAGUGAUUUGUCUGGUUUAUUCCGAUAACGAGCGAGACUCUAGCCUACUAAAUAGUUACUGGAUAAUUGAGUCCAGAAGACUUCUUAGAGGGACAAGCGGUGUUCAGCCGCACGAAGUUGAGCAAUAACAGGUCUGUGAUGCCCUUAGAUGUCCAGGGCUGCACGCGCGCUACACUGGAGGAAUCAGCGUGCUGUAACCAUUGCCGAAAGGCAUUGGUAACCCCUUGAAAAUCCUCCGUGAUCGGGAUCGGGAAUUGCAAUUAUUUCCCUUGAACGAGGAAUUCCUAGUAAGUGUGAGUCAUCAGCUCACGUUGAUUACGUCCCUGCCCUUUGUACACACCGCCCGUCGCUGCCCGGGACUGAGCCGUUUCGAGAAAAGCGGGGACUGCUGUUUCGAUACCUUUCGGGGUGGAGAUUCUUUGGUGGAAACCGCCUUUAUCGCAGUGGCUUGAACCGGGCAAAAGUCGUAACAAGGUUUCCGUAGUGACCUGCGGAUGAUCAAGGGCGAUUCGCGCCGCUAAAUCAUCGCCUAUAGUGAGUCGAUAAUACGCAAGUAAAAGGGGGGGGGAAACAUUCGGGCUGUUACUUACAACGAAAUAUGCGAGAAUUCUCUUUGCCGCACGCGGUCUAGAGGUGCAGU